rnacentral:lncRNA from 1 species
UCAUCUCGACAAUAGCUUAUUAGUAUAUACUUAUAUUUUUCUUUAUAAUGCUUUAAAAUGGUGGGGGAAUUCCAGUUUCUCAAAGGGGUCUGCUUCCUUGAAUCAUUUAAAAAGAAACUGGCUCAGAGUUUAACAUAAAAAAUAAAAUAUCAUAGAAGGGAAAAGAUUUGCAAUAAAUAUGGAAAUUAAGAGUCAAUAAGAAUCUUAAUUCUCGAUUCAGAAAAUUCUGAAGAUCCAAACUUAUUAUGUUUAUCGGGAGUCACAUAGAUAGAUAAUGCAUAGGUAGGUAUGAAGCUCAUAAGAUACUGUGCUAUGCAUUGAAUAAAUGGAAUUGUAGGAAGAGAGGAGAGUAGCAGUGAAUUGCAUUAAAUAGGAAAGCCUGCACAGUCAUAUAGGAGAAUUUAAUGAGGGAAUCUUUGUCUGAGCCUAAGUUAUAGCAGUCAUUCUUGUAAUUAAAUGCCUCCUCA